rnacentral:rRNA from 1 species
AAGUAGUAAUAACUUUAUAUAAAACCUAUAAAUAUAUGGCGGCAUUUUAUCUAGUUAAAGGAAUCUGUUUAAUAAUCGACAAUCCACGAUAAAUCUCACUUUUUUAAAAAUUUUAUAUACCACCAUCUAAAGAAACUAUUUAAAAAUUUUAACUCUAAAUAUAUUAUAAAAAGGCAGGUAAAGGUGUAGACUACAAAAAAGAUUAAAUGUAUUACAUUAAAAAUAAUUUAAGAAUUAAAAGUUAAACUCUUUAUGAAAAAGGAUUUAAAAGUAAAUAUUAAAUAAUAUUUAAUAUUGAAUAAGAUAAUAUAUGUGC